UGGCUUUGUCAGUUAAGCGCCUGACUUCAGCUCAGGUCAUGAUCUCAUGGCUUGUGGGUUCAAGCCCCAC
rnacentral:tRNA from 1 species